GGCACAUGGGGUGCCUCAGGCUUCCUGGCUGCUGCUGCUGCUGCUGCUGCUGCUGCUUCUUUCUUCUUUCUUCUUCUUCUUUUUCCUUCUUCUUCCUUCUUCUUCUCCGUCCUCCUCCUCCUCCUUCUUCUUCUUCCUCUUUUUUUGAGAUGGAGUCUUGCUCUGUCACCUAGGCUGGAGUGCAGUGAUGUGAUCUCAGCUCACUGCAACAUCUGCCUCCUGAGUUCGAGCUAUUCUGCCUCAGCCUCCCGAGUAGCUGGGAUUACAGGUGUCUGCCACCACACCCGACUAGUUUUUGUAUUUUUAGUAGAGAUGGGGUUUCGCUAUGUUGGCCAGGCUGGUCUUGAAUUCCUGACCUCAACUGAUCUGCCCACCUUGGCCUCCCAAAGUGCUGGGAUUACAGGUGUGAGCCACCGCGUCCGGCCCCCUGGCUGCUUCUAUGUGAGCAAUCCCAUGACCUCUGGUCCCUCACCUGCUUUGAGGUUGGCUCAACUGAGUCAUGGUGGGGAGAAAGAGAACCCACUCUGCCUUCCUUGCUCCUGGCAAGGGAGCCUAGCAUCCAGCAAGAACAGGUGUAGUAGACUUGAGGGGUGGGAAAGCGAAGAGCUGAGGCUCGUGUGCCUGGCAGGCCUGGCCAUAUGAGAUGGGUGACCUUGGGGGAUGUUACCCCUGGCAGGUUAUGUCCUUAUCUGCAAAGGAGGAUAAUCAUAUGGGCCUCUCAGGAGUUGUGAGGGCAGUGCCUGGCCCAGAAUAGAUGUCUGUUCCCUUUUUCCUGGUCUGGGUAGAGCUGAGUAGGGUUAGUGUUCCCUAGGAGGUUACUUUGUCCACUGUGGCGUGUUUCAGUGCCCGAUGAGGCAACGUGGUCUUUGGCCCUGGAAUCUGGAGCCAUCCUGUGGCACCCUGCUGUCCUCUCCCAACUAUGCUCCCAGGACCUCAGGACCUCCAGUCCCCUGUUGGGUCCCAGGCACCUUUCUUGCCUCCACAGGUCCCCAGUGUUGGAGACUAAUGUGUUGUCCUCAGGGCUCUCCCAGCCACUCUCUUGUUUGGUAUUCAAGUGGCAAGAAGUUAAAUUAUGUGUCCAAACCACAGUACAUGAUAGAGCUGGGGCUUAGAUUCAUGCCUCCAUGAUCCUAUUCCCAAGCCUUGUCCACAACACUCAGUUAUCCUGAUCAAUCUCCUUACUAGAUAUCCGAGGACACCGAGACAAGAGAGGCGAAGUGGCUUACCUAAGGUUCCACACUAGUUAGCAUCAGAGCUUACAGUCCAGUGGUUUCACCACCACUCUGCGCACUGUUGACUAUUACUGAUUAAUUCAAGAGCCUGGUUAAGGUUUUCACUAAGCAAGCAAUACCACCACCUGGUGGCACUAUGCCUGAAUUGCAGGGGCAACUCCUAAGCGUCAACUCUCCUCCCCUUCAACUUGAUGACUAAAAUUGAUUUUCAAAAAAGUAGCUAAUUGGGUGUCAUCUGUGUGACAAAUCCCUAAAGUAGUCCCUCAUCAGAUCCCGCUUGAGAGCAGCAUUUGCAGGAGGGCUUGUGGGGUUGCAGAUGGGGUCAGUGGAAAUGGAACAGAAUUAAUGGGAUACACAGACCUAGUCAGAAGCCUCAUUGUGCCUGAGCUUUAUUCCUCUAUCCCUGUGGUGAAGCUGGUGUUGGCUGUUCACUCUGUGGUGCAAUUCUGGCUCCAAAAUAGACUGUCUCUCUCUCUUUUUUUUUUUUUAGACGGAGUUUCGCUCGUUGCCCAGACUGGAGUGCAAUGGCGCGAUCUUGGCUCAACGCAACCUCCGCCUCCGGGUUUAAGCAAUUCUCCUGCCUCAGCCUCCCGAGUAGCUGGGAUUACAGGCAUGUGCCACCACACGCAGCUAAUUUUGUAUUUUUAGUAGAGACGGGGUUUCUCCAUGUUGGUCAGGCCAGUCUCGAACUUCCGACUUCGGGUGAUCUGCCCGCCUCGGCCUCCCAAAGUGCUGGGAUUACAGGCUUGAGCCACUGUGUUUGGCUCUGGACUGUCUCUUUAAAAGUCCUUCUGGUUGUAACUGAAGCAGUAACUGAAGCAGCCGCUGAAGCUGUUACUAGGGGCAACCUGGCAAGCCAUAGUGCAUUAAAUUAAAUUAAACAGGCUUGUGACUGCCCCCUCCCCUCCUGGAGAAGGGAGGGGGUAUUCCCCCUCUAUCCUGGAGAAUAAAGUUGCUGUGAAACCUCUUAUGGCUGCAAGGAAUUCAGUUACAGAGUUUAUGACUCCCAGAGGCAAGAUGUUUGGAGGCAGCCUGGGAGGAGGCUCACAGGACUUCUGCCAGAAGAGGAGUAUUUACAGUGAACCUGCCUGGGAUCAGGAAACAGAGACUACAGAAAAAGCCACCGGCCCAGCCCCAUAGCCCAGGGCAGAAGUGCCAGGAUUCAAGUUCAGAUCUGCCUCCCUCCAAUGCCCCUGUUGUUUCCACCUCAUCAUGCUGACUCUGUGAAGGCUGACACUGCAGAAAUAAAAGUCACAAGGUGGCA